CAGUCGAGCGAGCUUGCCUAGAUGAUUUUAGUGCUUGCACUAAAUGAAACUAGAUACAAGCGAACGGCGGACGGGUGAGUAACACGUGGGUAACCUGCCCAAGAGACUGGGAUAACACCUGGAAACAGAUGCUAAUACCGGAUAACAACACUAGACGCAUGUCUAGAGUUUGAAAGAUGGUUCUGCUAUCACUCUUGGAUGGACCUGCGGUGCAUUAGCUAGUUGGUAAGGUAACGGCUUACCAAGGCAAUGAUGCAUAGCCGAGUUGAGAGACUGAUCGGCCACAUUGGGACUGAGACACGGCCCAAACUCCUACGGGAGGCAGCAGUAGGGAAUCUUCCACAAUGGACGAAAGUCUGAUGGAGCAACGCCGCGUGAGUGAAGAAGGGUUUCGGCUCGUAAAGCUCUGUUGGUAGUGAAGAAAGAUAGAGGUAGUAACUGGCCUUUAUUUGACGGUAAUUACUUAGAAAGUCACGGCUAACUACGUGCCAGCAGCCGCGGUAAUACGUAGGUGGCAAGCGUUGUCCGGAUUUAUUGGGCGUAAAGCGAGUGCAGGCGGUUCAAUAAGUCUGAUGUGAAAGCCUUCGGCUCAACCGGAGAAUUGCAUCAGAAACUGUUGAACUUGAGUGCAGAAGAGGAGAGUGGAACUCCAUGUGUAGCGGUGGAAUGCGUAGAUAUAUGGAAGAACACCAGUGGCGAAGGCGGCUCUCUGGUCUGCAACUGACGCUGAGGCUCGAAAGCAUGGGUAGCGAACAGGAUUAGAUACCCUGGUAGUCCAUGCCG
rnacentral:rRNA from 1 species